UUUUCUGACGUUGAGUGAAAAAGGAAAGUGAUAUAAUCUCCAUAGGAGCUUGUGCACACACAAGGGCAAAAAGGUGAGCAUAGAACUAUGUAGAGGGCACGGCUAGCUGUGGAGCUCUUACGUGAUUCCAAAGAUCAAUGUACAUGGAUGACGACCUGUAGGGUUAUUUUGUGGGCUAUUGUUUUGAGCUUACACUCUAUUGUGUCAUAUUUUGGGGGUCUUGUCUUGUAUAACUUUUGAAAUGGCCUAUAGAUGUGUUUAUAACCUUAGAACAUACGUGUUGGAUUAUGGUUAUAUGAUCGUUGAUUUUGAUAUAAUAUAUGAUCAUCACAGGUGAUUUGAAGUUAA